rnacentral:rRNA from 1 species
GGGGAAUAUUGGACAAUGGGCGCAAGCCUGAUCCAGCCAUACCGCGUGGGUGAAGAAGGCCUUCGGGUUGUAAAGCCCUUUUGUUGGGAAAGAAAAGCAGCCGGCUAAUACCCGGUUGUUCUGACGGUACCCAAAGAAUAAGCACCGGCUAACUUCGUGCCAGCAGCCGCGGUAAUACGAAGGGUGCAAGCGUUACUCGGAAUUACUGGGCGUAAAGCGUGCGUAGGUGGUUGUUUAAGUCUGUCAUGAAAGCCCUGGGCUCAACCUGGGAACUGCGAUGGAAACUGGGCGACUAGAGUGUGGUAGAGGGCAGCGGAAUUCCUGGUGUAGCAGUGAAAUGCGUAGAUAUCAGGAGGAACAUCCAUGGCGAAGGCAGCUACCUGGGCCAACACUGACGCUGAGGCACGAAAGCGUGGGGAGCAAAC